GGGGGCAGUUCCCUGGAACGGGACGCCGCAGAGGGUGAGAGCCCCGUACCGCUCGGGGACCCGCCGCCGCACGAAGCGCCUUCGACGAGUCGAGUUGUUUGGGAAUGCAGCUCUAAGCGGGAGGUAAAUUUCUUCUAAGGCUAAAUACCGGCCAGAGACCGAUAGCGCACAAGUAGAGUGAUCGAAAGAUGAAAAGCACUUUGGAAAGAGAGUCAAACAGCACGUGAAAUUGUUGAAAGGGAAGCUCUUGCGGCCAGACGUGCUGCGGCCGCUCAGCCGCCCUCCGGGGCGGUGUACUCGGCCGCGGCGGGCCAGCGUCGGUGCGGGCGGUCGGACAAAGGCCCGGGGAAGGUAGCCCCCCGCGGGGGGUGUUAUAGCCCCGGGUGCCAUGCGGCCAGCCCGGACCGAGGAUCGCGCACGCGAGGACGCUGGCGUAAUGGCCGCAAGCGACCCGUCUUGAAACACGGACCAAGGAGUCUAACAUCUGUGCGAGUGUGCGGGUGUCAAACCCGUGCGCGCAAUGAAAGUGAACGGAGGUGGGACCCCCCCGGGGCGCACCAUCGACCGAUCCUGAUGUCCUCGGAUGGAUUUGAGUAAGAGCAUGGCUGUUGGGACCCGAAAGAUGGUGAACUAUGCGUGUUUAGGGUGAAGCCAGAGGAAACUCUGGUGGAGGCUCGCAGCGGUUCUGACGUGCAAAUCGAUCGUCAAAAAUGCGUAUAGGGGCGAAAGACCAAUCGAACCAUCUAGUAGCUG
rnacentral:rRNA from 1 species